rnacentral:rRNA from 1 species
AAUGAACGCUGGCGGUAUGCCUAACACAUGCAAGUCGAACGGAAGCACACUAAGAUCGUGCGCUUACGGGUUGCGAGUGGCGGGCGUGUGACGAGUGCAUCGGGAUCUACUUUUUCGUGUAACAUAACGUAAGUAAGCUUACUCUAAGACCGCAUAUGAUCCACCGUGGAGGGCAUUGGAUCGUCUCGGCUUUCGCGGAUGAAUUAGCCGAUUACGGAGUAGCUGGUUGGCGGGGUAAAGGCCCACCAAGGCGACGAUCCGUAGCCGGACUGAGAGGCUGAUAGGCGACAUUGGAACUGAGCCAGGGUCCAGACUCCUGAGGGAGGCAGCAGUCGGGAAUAGUGGACAAUGGGGGGAAGCCUGACACAGUCAUCCCGAGUGGGUGACGAAGGCCCUCGGGUUGUAAAGACCUUUUGUUGGGUAAGAAAAGCAGUCGGUUGAGACGACGCUGUUGUGACGGUACCGAAUGAAGAAGCACCGGCUAACUACGUG